GGAUCGAUAGCUCAGCGGUAGAGCGUGGGAUUGCAGAUCCUAAGGUCACGUGUUCGAUCCACGUUCGGUCCU